AAGAAGGGGAUGGUGAAAAAAUAAGCAAGGACUGACGGAUCCCAAAGUAAAGAAAUCUUUAACUGAAGAAGUGAUGAAAAGGGAGGAGGAAUGCAGCGUAGAAAAGAUUUUUAAUUUCAUGCAUAGCCAUGGGAAUUUUGGUUGUAAGGCCAUUGAUCUUUUUUGGUGCUUGGAGACGUGAUUAAUUACUUUGGUUUGUGGAGAACAUGAGGCACAAGAUCUCAUUCUCAGAUCACAUUUUCAUUUCUAAAUACAUGUCAAUCGUUGCAAAACUUUUAAACACGUAAUGAUGAUUGAAUUUUCUGCCUUUCUAAACACAUGUAAUGAUGAUUAAAUGUCUUGUCAUAAUAAAAGAGAAGAUUACUUCCUUUCU